UCAACUACGGAGGCUCAUCUCAAAAGUCCUUUCUCAUACUAAAAUUGAAGAUAGCAAGCUAAGCAAGUGUUCUAGUUAAAUCAUACAAUCUAUAUACAGUUAUCUGCAGUCUUCUUUGUAUUCAUUUCCAUAUUCUAGCUUUAUAAUCUUUUGAAUAUGAGUAGGAAUCCACUUUAUUCAUGCUUGUGCAGUUGUCUGUGAAAGUUCUUUUCAACACUGCUUUCAUGUUUUAAUCCCUUCUGCCCGGUUCUUUGAUGCACUCUUUUGUGUGAUUUUGUGCUUCAUCCAGGGUCAGCAAGGUUUUAUAAAAUUAAGAUCCAGAGAAUUACCUGAUCAGAGCAUUCAUUAAAUAUUGUAUACAUCAUAUGUUCAGUGUUGAAUAUAGUGAUUGUAAGCACAGACCUUAUUCUCUUGAACAACUGUAUUUGAGUGUCCUUUUUCCACACUCUUUAGCAAAGGGAAAGAGCUUUGAAAAGAGGACUAUCUAUUUGAAAGGUCUGCCAGAGCAUGGCUUGAAUAUUUGAAUCAAAUCCUUGUUUGAUUGUGUGAAUAUAUAUAAGAUUAAUUGUACAGCACAAACGGAUAUGCCAGUAAUACUGAAUAUUUCAAGAGAUAGAGAAUGUGUUGCAAUAUCAGUAGUAGAAGCCAUCUUGACAAGUAAUUUAAUGAGAAAUGAAAAUAUCAUCUCUACAAUGAUGAAGC
rnacentral:sRNA from 1 species